UACGUAGGGUCCGAGCGUUUGUCCGGAAUUACUGGGCGUAAAGAGCUCGUAGGUGGUUUGUCGCGUUGUCCGUGAAAACUCACAGCUCAACUGUGGGCGUGCGGGCGAUACGGGCAGACUGGAGUACUGCAGGGGAGACUGGAAUUCCUGGUGUAGCGGUGGAAUGCGCAGAUAUCAGGAGGAACACCGGUGGCGAAGGCGGGUCUCUGGGCAGUAACUGACGCUGAGGAGCGAAAGCGUGGGGAGCGAACAGG
rnacentral:rRNA from 1 species